GAUGAACGCUGGCGGCGUGCUUAACACAUGCAAGUCGAACGGUGAACGAGGAAGCUUGCUCCCUCCGGAUCAGUGGCGAACGGGUGAGUAACACGUGAGCAAUCUGCCCUGGACUCUGGGAUAAGCGUUGGAAACGACGUCUAAUACCGGAUACGAGACGCGAAGGCAUCCUCAGCGUCUGGAAAGAACUUCGGUCCAGGAUGAGCUCGCGGCCUAUCAGGUAGUUGGUGAGGUAACGGCUCACCAAGCCUACGACGGGUAGCCGGCCUGAGAGGGGGGCCGGCCACACUGGGACUGAGACACGGCCCAGACUCCUACGGGGGGCAGCAGUGGGGAAUAUUGCACAAUGGGCGCAAGCCUGAUGCAGCAACGCCGCGUGAGGGACGACGGCCUUCGGGUUGUAAACCUCUUUUAGCAGGGAAGAAGCGAAAGUGACGGUACCUGCAGAAAAAGCACCGGCUAACUACGUGCCAGCCGCCGCGGUAAAAC
rnacentral:rRNA from 1 species